UUGACGGGGCCCGCACAAGCGGUGGAGUAUGUGGUUAAUUCGAAGCAACGCGAAGAACCUUACCAGGUCUUGACAUCCCGAUGCUAUUUCUAGAGAUAGAAAGUUACUUCGGUACAUCGGUGACAGGUGGUGCAUGGUUGUCGUCAGCUCGUGUCGUGAGAUGUUGGGUUAAGUCCCGCAACGAGCGCAACCCCUAUUGUUAGUUGCCAUCAUUCAGUUGGGCACUCUAGCGAGACUGCCGGUAAUAAACCGGAGGAAGGUGGGGAUGACGUCAAAUCAUCAUGCCCCUUAUGACCUGGGCUACACACGUACUACAAUGGUUGGUACAACGAGUUGCGAGUCGGUGACGGCGAGCUAAUCUCUUAAAGCCAAUCUCAGUUCGGAUUGUAGGCUGCAACUCGCCUACAUGAAGUCGGAAUCGCUAGUAAUCGCGGAUCAGCACGCCGCGGUGAAUACGUUCCCGGGCCUU
rnacentral:rRNA from 1 species